rnacentral:rRNA from 1 species
AAGGGGUGCCACCAUACGGUGGCCGCAGAGAAUAGGCCCAAGCGACUGUUUACCAAAAACAUAGGUUUCUGCUAAGUCGCAAGACGAUGUAUAGGAGCUGACGCCUGCCCGGUGCUGGAAGGUUAAGGGGAUCUGUUAGAGCAAUCGAAGCAGUGAACUUAAGCCCCAGUAAACGGCGGCCGUAACUAUAACGGUCCUAAGGUAGCGAAAUUCCUUGUCGGGUAAGUUCCGACCCGCACGAAAGGCGUAACGAUUUGGGCACUGUCUCAACAACAGACUCGGUGAAAUUGUAAUUCCGGUGAAGAUGCCGGAUACCUGCGACAGGACGGAAAGACCCCAUGGAGCUUUACUGUAGCUUGACAUUGGGUCUUGGUACUACAUGUACAGGAUAGGUGGGAGGCUUUGAAACCAGGACGCCAGUUUUGGCGGAGCCAUCCUUGGGAUACCACCCUUGUAGUACUGGGACUCUAACCAUAGGCCAUGAAUCUGGUCUUGGGACACUGUCAGGUGGGCAGUUUGACUGGGGCGGUCGCCUCCCAAAAGGUAACGGAGGCGC